GGCGCCGCAUGCAAGGUUUUUGUCAGGAGUAACAACUGCAGAUUAUGAGUUACCUGCGUGCAUAAUGCUGAAGUGCAGAUUCAGAAUUGGACUUGUGGCUAUGGAGGACUCUGCCGGCGCUUCUGUUUUGACCAAGAAUACAUUGUCGGUCACCAUGGUUGUCCACGCAAAUACAGAUGCUGUGCGGU